UAUUUAUAUGAGAGUUUGAUCCUGGCUCAGGAUGAACGCUGGCGGCGUGCCUAAUACAUGCAAGUCGAACGAGUUCUCGUUGAUGAUCGGUGCUUGCACCGAGAUUCAACAUGGAACGAGUGGCGGACGGGUGAGUAACACGUGG
rnacentral:rRNA from 1 species